AUAAGGAACUUUGUGGUCAAAAUAAUUUUGUUUAUCAGUUGUGCACAAGUCACUCAGCACAAAUAGGAGCAAGCUCCACAAUUCAUUCUUCUUCUCCCAAGAGCAGGCAAUACUUUAGAAAGUGGACAUAGUCUAUUCAGCAAAAAAAAUUAUCUUGGUUACUGUCUGGCUACUCCUCUGAAUGUCCAGUAGUAACAUCAACAUGCUUCAGAUAGAUUGGCAAGAAACCUGUCAUGACUGCCCAGGAAACAUGUCCACAAUGAAAGCAACCUUGUAUUCUUCAGCUAAUUCAAGAUUGACAGCCGAAUGGAUUGUAUAGUGAGUGGUGUGUGGCCAAAAUUAGGCUACCAUACCCCAAAAUGAAUCAUGGACAGUAUUAUGGAAAAGGAGUUACAAGACAAAGUUUCAGAAGAGUUAGAUACUUAUUCCACAUUGCAUCCUUAUGGCAACAUCACAAUAUUUACAAACUUAUCUGAGUUAAGUCUUGCAGGAUCUAAUAUUUUGGGGAAUCCAUGAUGACAGCAGGUGGACAGUAAUUCCUGGCUGCCUGAAAAUCCCUUUUGCUGGUUUUGAGUUAACUGACAUUUGGUGAGGAGGGAAGAAGCCACCCACGGAAAUUAUUUUUCUGGGAGAGGCUGCUAAGAGCUUCCUCUUUGGUUUGUGCCGAGCAAAAACCAAUAGCUGGCUAGCUCUGAGAAGUGACAACCUAUUAAACCAUUAAAAAAGCGAGGUGUGCCUCUGUGAGACUGACAUUUUAAAGAUGGGCAAGCCCAGGAAAUCUCUUGGCUUCCAGCGUUUGAAGAGGUGACUGGGUGCCGGUGGGACCGGCCCCUCGCGGCCUGCGUGGCCAGGCCGGGCCGGCCCCAUGUGGCCCGGCCGAGAUUUUCUGCUCCCUGAGGGGUGGUGAGCGGGCUGCCGAGCCCCUCACUGGGGAGCCCACGGGACCCCUUCCCACGGGACCCCUUCCCGGCGGAGCCCGCCAGUCCUUUUUCCAGCGGCACCGCCAGGCCAUGCCGGCCCGAGGCUCUGUGGGGCUGGGAGCGGCCCCGAGGCCAGGAGCGGCCAUGAAUGCAGUUCUGGGGAAGCUGCAAGGCAUAGGAGGAACUAUCGCAUUAUGAACAUUAAUUUUCCUUUCCUGGGCGGUAGAUUCGCUGCGAUAUUGAAGCCACAAGAGAACUGUUUCUGUGGAGAAGUCUCAAUAGCAUGACAAACCUCACUCAGCUAAAGGAAGGAGGAGGAGAGAAAGCAGAAGGGCAAUGUCUGAGGUAUUUACUCUGACAUUCACUUAAGAACCCUGCCAGGCUUCCCCGAGACUGAGGAGCACCCAUGGCUCUCCCUGCUCCAGCACUCAGCAAACUACACCAGGCAGGAGGCAGUCCCUGGGCAACAUAGCCUGAUAGGAAGAGGUGCUGGAAACCUUUAAGUCCCACGUGGACAUCAACAGAAUUUUCACACAUAAAGGCUAAAGGAUUAGACCUGUA